rnacentral:pre_miRNA from 18 species
CCAAGAGAAAGCGUGAAGCUGCCAGCAUGAUCUAACUUGCAGACAAGAAAUCAGCUCAGCUCGCUGGUUUCGAACAGGAAGGCGGCUAGCUGAGGCUUCUUCUGAGUACGUGAUGGUUAGAUCAUGGUGUGACAGUUUCACUCCUUCCCUGU